ACUCCUACGGGAGGCAGCAGUGGGGAAUCUUGGACAAUGGGCGCAAGCCUGAUCCAGCCAUGCCGCGUGAGUGACGAAGGCCUUUAGGGGUUGUAAAAGCUCUUUUAGCAGGGAAGAUAAUGACGGGAUACCUGCAGAAUAAGCCCCGGCUAACUUCGUGCCAGCAGCCGCGGUGAUACGAAGGGGCUAGCGUUGUUCGGAAUUACUGGGCGUAAAGCGCACGUAGGCGGAUCAUUUAGUCAGGGU
rnacentral:rRNA from 1 species